AUACUUACCUGGCAGAAAACCUUGAUCGUGAAGGAGGUUUUCCCAGGGUGAGGCUCAUCCAUUGCACUGCGGGUGUGCCGACCCCUGCGAUUUCCCCAGAUGCGGGAAACUCGACUGCAUAAUUUGUGGUAGUGAGGGACUGCGUUCGCGCUUUCCCCUG
rnacentral:snRNA from 1 species